rnacentral:snRNA from 1 species
GUCCCUUCGGGGACAUCCGAUAAAAUUGGAACGAUACAGGCCCCUGCGCAAGGAUGACACGCAUAAAUCGAGAAAUGGUCCAAAUUUUU